rnacentral:lncRNA from 1 species
GGAAACUCACCAACAUGUAAGGAGAGAGAAUGAGUGGGAAAUAAAAGAAUGUGCAGGUGGGUCCCACUGGGUAGGAAUUUGAGGGUGAGUAUAAAUAGAAUGAUUGAGAAAUAGGGAUAGGUAUCUUUUUGGUUAUCUUUUAGAAAAGGGAGGCGGCAGCAGCCGAUAGGAGAGGGGUAUCCUUCUUGUGAAGGGUGCAGGUUUGUUCUUAUUGUUCAUUGUUCUUGUUUUCAUUCCUUAUUGUAGCUGUAACUUUGGGCUAUAUAUAUAAAUAAAGGAUCACAGGGUGCUGUCUCUGUUUAGCCAUAGUUGGGUAUUUUAUUAAAAAGGGUGUAGAAUCCUAACAUUUGGUAUCAGAGCCCGACAAAAAGAGAAAAAAAAACUGGGGGUGGUGACGCGUCGCAUGGCACAAAGACAAAUGGUGGAACGAAUGGAAGGAACCGAGAAGGAGCUGCUGAGCAUGAAAGAAAUGCUACUGGAAAUGAAGAAAUCUAUGGAAAGACUGACAGAGGAACUAAGAGAGAAUCAUAGCUAUAAGAAAAGAGAUGAAUCCGGAACAUCUGAUGGAUCCAGCAUGAAGUUGAAAGGAAAAGUAGAAGAAUCGGAAGUCUGUAAUGAGGUAAAUGGAAGCAAUGUGGAUCGAAGUAAGUACGCAAAGUUAGAAAUGCCUAUGUUCUUAGGUGAAAAUCCAGAAUCCUGGGUAUAUAGAGCAGAACAUUUCUUUGAGAUGAACAACCUGCCAGAAAACGAGAAGAUCAGAGUGGCGGUGGUCAGUUUUGGGCAAGAGGAAGUGGACUGGUACAGGUGGACGCAUAAUAGGAAGAAAGUAGAGUCAUGGGAAGAUUUGAAAGGGAGGAUGUUUGAUUUCUUCAAGGACUCGGGACAAACAAGUCUAGUGGCACGCUUGAUUAGGAUUCAACAAGAUGGAUCCUACAGUGAGUAUGUGAAGAAAUUUGUCACAUAUUCAGCUCCCCUCCCUCACAUGGAGGAAAGUGUGUUACGAGAUGCUUUUCUGACCGGUCUGGAACCCAAUCUUCAGGCAGAAGUCGUUAGUCGUUUCCCUCGAACAUUGGAAGAUUGUAUGAGGGAGGCUCAACUAGUCAAUGAUCGGAAUGUAGCAAUGAAAUUGACUAAGACCGAGGGCAGGACAGUGGACCAAAGAAAAAAGAAGAGUAUGCAGGAAAAAUCCAAGAUGGAACAGACAAAGGCUACAUGAGGAGGACAGAUUUCCCCAUAAAACAAGUAACUAUACCUAUUAAGGGUAGUUAUCAAAAAAGUGAACCUCCUAUCAAACGACUUUCAGACGCAGAAUUCAGGUCCAGAUUGGAUAAGGGCCUAUGUUUUAAAUGCAAUGAGAAAUAUACACCAGGGCACAGAUGUAGAGUGAAGGAAAAAAGGGAGCUGAUGUUAUUUAUCAUGAAUGAAGAGGAGAGCAAGGAAGAGGAAGGCAAGAUGGAAGAGGAACCAGGGGAAACAGUGGAAUUAAACCAUCUGGAUUUUGCUGAAGGGGAGGAAAUAGAAUUGAAGACAAUCCAUGGGAUGGCAUCGAAGGGAACGAUGAAGCUGAAGGGAAAUAUAAAGGGCAAAUGAGUGAUAGUGCUGAUUGAUAGUGGAGCAACCCAUAAUUUUAUACAUAACCGGACAGUAAAGGAAAAGAACUUAUAUCUGGAAAAAGGUAACCCGUUUGCAGUUACAAUUGGAGAUGGCACCAAGUGUACAGGCAAGGGUGUUUGCAAGAGAGUGGAAUUGGAACUACAAGGGGUGGUGGUGGUGGCUGAUUUUUUUGCUAUUGAGUUGGGAAAUGUGGAUGUAAUAUUGGGUAUGCAGUGGCUGGAUACAACAGGCACCAUGAAGAUUAGGCAAACAGAAAAUUAUCUUGAAAGGAGACCCAUCCCUCAUCCAAGCAGAAUGUUCCCUGAAAACCAUUGAGAAAACGUGGGAAAAUGAAGAUCAGGGUUUUCUGUUGGAAUUCCAAAAGUAUGAAGUAGACACGGAGGUGGAAGCGGAGCAGGAAAUGAAAGGGGACGAGGAAGAGAUUCCAAUGAUUAAAAAUCUGUUACAACAGUAUGCAGACAUCUUUGAGGAUCCAAAGAAACUACCCCCUAAGAGAGAAAUAGAUCACCGUAUAUUGGUUUUACCGAACCAAAGGCCCAUCAAUGUCAGACCAUAUAAAUAUGGUUAUGUACAGAAGGAGGAAAUUGAGAAAUUGGUGGUGGAAAUGCUGCAAGCAGGUGUGAUACGUCCCAGUCAUAGCCCUUACUCCAUCCCUGUUUUAUUGGUCAAAAAGAAAGAUGGAGGGUGGCGCUUUUGUGUAGAUUACCGGAAACUCAACCAAGUAACCAUAUCGGACAAAUUUCCUAUCCCAGUGAUAGAAGAACUGCUGGAUGAAUUACAUGGAGCCACGGUUUUCUCAAAACUAGAUCUGAAGUCCGGUUACCAUCAAAUAAGGAUGCAGAAGGAAGAUGUUGAGAAGACCGCGUUCAGAACACAUGAGGGUCACUAUGAAUUUCUGGUAAUGCCCUUCGGUCUUACAAACGCACCAGCCACCUUCCAGUCCUUGAUGAAUCAGGUAUUCAAACCUUUUUUAAGAAGGUGUGUAUUGGUAUUCUUCGAUGAUAUACUUGUAUAUAGCAAGGAUAUAUCAGAACAUGAGAAACAUCUAGGGAUGGUAUUUGCAGUGUUGAGGGAUAACCAUCUAUUUGCAAAUAAGAAGAAGUGUGUCAUAGCUCACUCCAAAAUCCAAUAUUUGGGGCAUAUAACUUCGAGUAAAGGAGUACAGGCUGAUGAGGAGAAGAUCAAAGACAUGGUGAAAUGGCCUCAGCCGAAAGAUGUCACGGGUCUGAGAGGAUUUCUGGGAUUAUCGGGCUAUUAUCGUAGGUUUGUGAAAGGAUACGGAGAAAUUGCAGCCCCCUUGACCAGAUUGUUGCAAAAGAAUUCUUUUGCGUGGGAUGAACAAGCAACCGAGGCUUUUGAAAAAUUAAAGAUGGCCAUGACUACUAUCCCGAUGCUAGCACUGCCGAAUUGGGAUCUACCUUUUUUAAUCGAAACAGAUGCUUCAGGGACAGGAUUGGGAGCUGUACUUUCACAGAAUGGUCACCCCAUAGCCUUCUUCAGCCAGAAAUUGUCGACACGAGCCCAGGCCAAGUCCAUUUACGAAAGAGAACUGAUGCCUGUAGUAUUAUCAGUGCAGAAAUGGCGUCAUUAUCUAUUAGGAAGGAAGUUUACAAUUAUCUCAGAUCAAAAGGCAUUGAAAUUUCUCCUUGAGCAGAGGGAAGUACAACCCCAAUUUCAGAAAUGGCUGACCAAACUGCUGGGAUACGAUUUUGAAAUAUUAUACCAACCUGGAUUACAAAACAAAGCAGCAGAUGCCCUUCCUAGGAUGGAAUAUCCGCUGGAAGUAAACUCCUUGACGACAACUGGCAUUGUAGACAUGGAAGUGAUAGACAAGGAAGUCAACCAAGAUGAGGAAUUACAGAAAACCAUUAAAGAAUUGAAACAGAAUCCAGAGGGAAUUAGCAAAUUUAGCUGGGAGAAUGGGAAACUGUUCUACAAGAAGAGAGUAGUAUUAUCAAAGAAGUCGUCAGUGAUUCCCACAUUGCUGCAUACAUUCCAUGACUCCAUCUUAGGAGGACACUCGGGAUUCUUGAGGACAUAUAAAAGGAUGAGCGGAGAGCUGUACUGGGAGGGAAUGAAGGCUGAUAUUAAGAAAUAUGUGGAACAGUGUGAGAUUUGUCAAAGAAACAAAUAUGAGGCGACGAAACCAGCAGGGGUAUUACAUCCACUUCCUGCUCCGGAAGCCAUACUAGAAGAAUGGUCAAUGGAUUUCAUAGAAGGGUUACCGAAGGCAGGGGGAAUGAAUGUGAUAAUGGUGGUGGUAGACAGAUUGAGCAAGUAUGCUUAUUUCAUCACUAUGAAGCACCCUUUCACAACUAAACAAGUGGCGACGACAUUCAUUGAAAAGAUCAUCAGCAAGCAUGGGGUUCCAAAAUCCAUAGUAUCCGACAGGGAUAAAGUUUUCAUUAGUCAUUUUUGGAAGGAGUUAUUUACAACUAUGGGAACUAAACUGAAAAGAAGCACGGCAUUCCACCCACAAACAGAUGGGCAAACGGAAAGGGUAAACCAAUGUCUGGAGACAUACUUGAGAUGCUUUUGCAAUGAGCAACCUCAAAGGUGGCAUAAGUUCAUUCCAUGGGCUGAACUGUGGUAUAACACUACUUUCCAUUCAUCCAUACGUUCCAACCCUUUCAAGAUCGUAUAUGGAAGGCAACCACCCCCGAUUCUAUCCUACGGAACCCGAAAAACUCAGAAUGAUGAGGUAGAAAUAAUGCUCAAGGAGAGAGAUCUGGCAUUGAACGCCUUGAAGGAGAACCUUCAGUUAGCCCAAAACCGCAUGAAGAAAUGGGCAGACACCAAAAGAAGGGAAUUGAAGUUCAAGGUGGGUGAUGAAGUAUACCUAAAGCUCAGACCUUAUAGGCAGAGAUCCUUAGCUCGGAAAAGGUGUGAAAAGCUGGCGCCAAAAUUCUACGGGCCUUACACAAUCAUUGAAGAGAUAGGAGAGGUGGCCUAUAGAUUGAAACUUCCACCAGAGGCGAGUAUUCAUGAUGUGUUCCACAUCUCACAGUUGAAGCUCAAGUUAGGUAAGCAGAAGGUUGUGCAGCAACAGCAACCUAUGUUGACAACAGAUUUCGAAUUACAACUAUGGCCAGAACAGGUAUUGGGAAUUCGCUGGAACAAAGAAUUGGGAGCUAACGAAUGGCUAGUCAAGUGGAAGAAUUUACCAGAAACUGAAGCCACAUGGGAAGCUGUCUAUCAAAUGAAUCAACAGUUUCCCACAUUCCACCUUGAGGACAAGGUGAAUUUGGAACCGAGGGGUGUUGUGAGACCCCCAAUCAUACAUACGUAUGUUAGGAAGGGUAAGAAGGGAAACUCACCAACAUGUAAGGAGAGAGAAUGAGUGGGAAAUAAAAGAAUGUGCAGGUGGGUCCCACUGGGUAGGAAUUUGAGGGUGAGUAUAAAUAGAAUGAUUGAGAAAUAGGGAUAGGUAUCUUUUUGGUUAUCUUUUAGAAAAGGGAGGCGGCAGCAGCCGAUAGGAGAGGGGUAUCCUUCUUGUGAAGGGUGCAGGUUUGUUCUUAUUGUUCAUUGUUCUUGUUUUCAUUCCUUAUUGUAGCUGUAACUUUGGGCUAUAUAUAUAAAUAAAGGAUCACAGGGUGCUGUCUCUGUUUAGCCAUAGUUGGGUAUUUUAUUAAAAAGGGUGUAGAAUCCUAACAGAAGCAUUCAUCAACUUCUGGGAAAACAAUGGAGAACUCAAAGGGAAAGUCACUAAAUUCAUCCAAUGAUCAGGGCAGUGAAUCCAAGUCAGGAAAGAAAAGAAGAAGAGAGUCAAAAGGUUGAUAACCACGUCUA